GGCAGAUCAGCCGAUUACAGCUGAUGACAAGCCUCAGUUGGCGCUUCCCAUCAAUAAUAAAAUUGGAGAUGUGGUGGCCAUGCAGUUGAGGGCACAGAGAUUCCUCCGUUAUGUUCGUGCAGGACUUCAAAUGUGAGGCUGAGUCCUCUGAGACCUCCAGGAUGAAGCAACCCUUUCAGGAUGGCAGAGCAACCAGCUGAGAAAGGUGUCUGUGUUCCAGUCCCCAGGAGCUGCCCAGCCAUCUCUUGGAUGCCUUUUACCCAGGCUAUUGGGUGAGUGAGAAAAAUAUUCAGUCAUGUUUAAGCUACUGUUUUUUCAAUUCUGUGUUCU
ensembl:lncRNA